rnacentral:rRNA from 1 species
CUAAGUACCCCGAGGAAAAGAAAUCAACCGAGAUUCCCCCAGUAGCGGCGAGCGAACGGGGAGCAGCCCAGAGCCUGAAUCAGUGUGUGUGUUAGUGGAAGCGUCUGGAAAGGCGCGCGAUACAGGGUGACAGCCCCGUACACAAAAAUGCACAUGCUGUGAGCUCGAUGAGUAGGGCGGGACACGUGGUAUCCUGUCUGAAUAUGGGGGGACCAUCCUCCAAGGCUAAAUACUCCUGACUGACCGAUAGUGAACCAGUACCGUGAGGGAAAGGCGAAAAGAACCCCGGCGAGGGGAGUGAAAAAGAACCUGAAACCGUGUACGUACAAGCAG